rnacentral:rRNA from 1 species
UAAGGAAUAUUGGACAAUGGAGGCAACUCUGAUCCAGCCAUGCCGCGUGAAGGAAUAAGGCCCUAUGGGUUGUAAACUUCUUUUAGACGGGACAAAACCCCUUUACGUGUAAAGGGUUGAUGGUACUGUCAGAAUAAGCAUCGGCUAACUUCGUGCCAGCAGCCGCGGUAAUACGUAGGGGGCAAGCGUUGUCCGGAUUUACUGGGUGUAAAGGGCGCGCAGGCGGGAUAAAAAGUCAGUGGUGAAAUCCUACAGCUUAACUGUAGAACUGCCUUUGAUACUUUUAUUCUUGAGUUCGGGAGAGAGAGACGGAAUUCCAGGUGUAGUGGUGAAGUACGUAGAUAUCUGGAAGAACACCAGUUGCGAAGGCGGUCUCUUGGUCCGACACUGACGCUGAGGCGCGAAAGCGUGGGGAGCAAACA